AAGCAACAGGGAUGUCGUCUGGAAACAAAAUCUGGUAUUGAAGCGCAGGGAGACAAAACGUCCACCUCUAGAGCCGAGGCGGCGGUUGCCUGUCGCGUGCCCGUGGUCUUCUGCCUGCCCCCGGGCAUCUCGGGCCACGUCCGGCCCGGCCUCCGGCCGCGCUGCCCUAGCGGGCGUCACGGGGCAUGAAGAGCCCUGGGCGGCUGCGAGGGGGGGGUACCGGGGCAGCGGGGCGGUCGCUCGGGGCUCCCGCGCGGUGACUCUUGCUCUGCCGUCGAAGAGAACGGCCCUCGGGCGGGUCGCGGCCGCGGCUCCAGAGCCCCUGGGCCUCGCGCUCUGAGAGCCUGAGCCGCUUGAGGAGGCCAAGCGCCCACGAACCGCAUUCCCUGCCUUGCUAGUUAGUUCUCCAACACGCGAAAAAGGUAGACGAGGACUGGUUUUCUUUGCAGCUAAAAUGAAUCAAGCCUCUGAGCUUACAAUUGAGACUGCUAACCCCUACCUUUGAAGGGAUCAACGGAUUGUUGUUGAAACAACAUUUAGUUCAGAAUCCAGUCAGACUCUGGCAACUUUUAG
rnacentral:sRNA from 1 species